rnacentral:rRNA from 1 species
GACGUAGGGCGCGAGCGUUGUCCGGAUUUAUUGGGCGUAAAGAGCUCGUAGGCGGCUUGUUGCGUCGACUGUGAAAACCCGCGGCUCAACCGCGUGGCUUGCAGUCGAUACGGGCAGGCGUUGAGUUCGGGAGAGGGAAGCGGAAGUUCCGGGUGAUGAGCGGUGAAAUGCGUAGAUAGUCCGGAGGAACGACCGGUGGCGAAGGCGGCUUCCUGGACCGACACUGACGCUGAGGCGCGAAAGCCUAGGGGAGCAAACGGG